GGAGUAGCCAAGUGGUAAGGCGGUGGCUUUUGGUGCCAUGAUUCGGGGGUUCGAAUCCCUCCUC
rnacentral:tRNA from 1 species